GCUGGACAGAGCAGGGUGCGGCGUCGCUUCCGCUUGCGGCAGGAAACGCGCCGGA
rnacentral:SRP_RNA from 1 species